rnacentral:rRNA from 1 species
GACGGAGGAGGCAAGCGUUAUCCGGGCUUAUUGGGCGUAAAGCGUCCGCGGGCGGUUAUUUAAGUCUGUUGUCAAAAGUCACAGCUCAACUGUGGCUCGGCAAUGGAAACUGGAUGACUUGAGUGUGGUAGGGGUAGAGGGAAUUCCCGGUGUAGCGGUGAAAUGCGUAGAUAUCGGGAAGAACAACAGUGGCGAAGGCGAUCGACUGGGCCACAACUGACGCUGAGGGACGAAAGCUAGGGGAGCGAAAGGG